GGAGACCGCCGGGGAGAACUCGGAGGAAGGUGGGGAUGACGUCAAGUCAGCAUGCCCCUUACGUCUUGGGCUACACACGUACUACAAUGGUUGGGACAAAGGGGAGCGAAACCGCGAGGUGGAGCGAAUCUCAUCAAACCCAGCCACAGUUCAGAUUGCAGGCUGAAACUCGCCUGCAUGAAGGAGGAAUCGCUAGUAAUCGCAGGUCAGCAUACUGCGGUGAAUCCGUUCCCGGGUCUUGUACACACCGCCCGUCACACCAUGGAAGUUGGUCACGCCCGAUCCCUUUACUCUAUCAA
rnacentral:rRNA from 1 species